UACGUAGGGCGCAAGCGUUGGCCGGAAUUAUUGGGCGUAAAGAGCUCGUAGGCGGCUUGUCACGUCGGGUGUGAAAGCCCGGGGCUUAACCCCGGGUCUGCAUUCGAUACGGGCUAGCUAGAGUGUGGUAGGGGAGAUCGGAAUUCCUGGUGUAGCGGUGAAAUGCGCAGAUAUCAGGAGGAACACCGGUGGCGAAGGCGGAUCUCUGGGCCAUUACUGACGCUGAGGAGCGAAAGCGUGGGGAGCGAACAGG
rnacentral:rRNA from 1 species